ACCAGAACCGAAAGGAUUCUGAACCUAGUCUUCUUAUCUUUUAUUUUCCAAUCACCUUAGAUUUCUUGCGCACUUGGCACAGAUGCGUCACCAUAAUGUGCUGUGAAAAAGGACCCAAACUUGAGGUAUCGAUGGAUUCUUCGACACGAGCUCAUCUCCUGAGCAGAUUUAAGAACGGCUCCAUCACAUGACGGAGGACGUGGCUCAGAGACGCUCAUCAGUCUGCAGAGGACGAUCUACGGGUCCGUUUCUCAACAUAAUGCAACGAACAGCGAGAGGUGACGCAGGCUGUGUGGCAGCUUGGACACUUCUGGACCCCAGAGGCUGACAAAGUCCAGACAAUAACUGCACUAAUGAAGGUGAACACACAACAAUGAAGUGUCUUCCGGAGUCCUACAAUGUUUGAGAGUACUAAAAUAAGCCCUCUGAGCUGAGAGCCCAGCCAGCUGCCUUCCUGCCCCGCUCUGGCUCCCCCUAGCCGUGCCUCCAUAUUUCCUUGUUAGUGCACACCAUAAUGGCCUGGCCCUCCCUGUUCAAUUACACCUAAAAGACACCAAAAUACACCUGAAAACAUCCAUUUCUCCGUCUAAAUGUGGAGUAAACCGCCUCCAUGUGCCUCCCAGCCAACGUUAGAGUCCACAGGCCACAGCAGAACAGAGGAUUUCUUACCUUUUUCUCAGUGGAUCUGACUACACCUCCCUCUCCAAAGUCCCAACUUCGACAGCCUCCUUCUUCUUCCCAGCAAUCCCUGCAAAAAGGACACUUCCAUGUAUGUUGAAAAUGUAGGGGUGAACCAAAUGGACAAAACCAUUUCUAAAGAGCCCAGAGAGCCCCCAAUAUCCAAAAAUGGCCUUUUGGGGCCCAAAUAGACAUAGCCUCCAAUAUUCCAUUAUAAAAUGCCAUAUCUGAGGCCUUAAAUAGCAAAAUCCCCUCAUCAUAUAGACUCUCUCCUACCCCGGUGAUUUCAACUUCUUCUGGUCCAUUCUCCAGUCGUACAGUUCGUACUGAAGCGCAAUUGUCAGGGAGUGCGCAACUGAACUCUGCCGGCUUUCUGCUGCGUUUUAUGCGUUUGCCAAGCCCCGGAGCAUCUCUGAGAGGCUACAAAUGCUCCAUUGAUGGGAUUAUAGUGUCAAAGAGACAUUUUUCUUGUGGAUUCGACCAAAAAAAGUCGAAGGAAAAUAUUUUCAUGCGGGUAAAAUCCAGCGGUGCCAACAGUGAGCUGCGUAUCCAAAUGGACCUCUCCAAAAGUGCACAGGUGCAUCCAAAGGCAAAGAGAGCUCUCCAAAGGCUCCAGGAGGAAAAAAUACAACUUUACUCAGCUUAAAUGGUAAAUAUAUUAAUAAUGCAGUCUAAAAUUUACAAAUUAUGCUCGAAAAAUAAAGGUUGCGCUCAAAAAAUCUUGAAUAUGAGGUCCACUAGAGAGCAAAGUGCAGCGAGAAAAGCGUUCCAAAUGGCGCAAUGGCACUGCAGACAUUUAAGCUGAUUAUUUAAUUAUUUAAAAAUACUUUUUGCUGAAAUGCACAUCUGUUAAUAGUAUCAAAGCUGUAGCACAGACUGUAAAUUGAAAUUACCAUCCAUGUGGCCAACAAUAGCUGUGAAACGGACAAAAAGCUGAGCUGGAAACGCACCCAGUCAGUGCGCUGAGAGUCCUGCAGUCUGCUCCUUCAUCCAGGAUUAAAUAAGCGUGGGUUCAGUGGUCAGCAGGAAAAACCAAAGCAGACAAAGCAGUGAAGUCUCGUGUUUGGAGGAACUACUGCGCCGACGGUUAAAGCUGUUUCCCCCCAAACAAACCGCGAUGCACAUGAUGCUGGCAGGAGGCGGCGCUGCGUCAGAGGACGGUGAAUGUCUGAAGCCUGCUGCGGUGUUCAGGUCGCUGAUCGGACCUUCUUCUGCCUCCCUGCGUGUCCAGACAUGAGCCCGCAGCAGGUUCAGGACCCCGCAUCCCCUCUAUGAACACCGAGCCUCCGGAAGCAGCAGCAGCAGCACAACAGGAGCCCUGUGCUCCCUGCGCCCUGUAGUGGAGGGAAAAGUGGAAAUAAAAGGACGGCUGUUUGGUAGAAAUGACAAAGCCUCCGUUAUUUGCUCUGAAUCAGCGCUCGGACCUCAAAAACAGGCGCAGGGAGCCUUUAUUAAAGCGCAGCGCCUGUCCUCAUUGUGCGCAUUUGCUGCUGCAGCUGUCAAGCGGAUCACGUUUCACACUGAAGCCAGUCAUAUAGAUACAGUACACUGUAAAAAAAACAACAGCUACAACCUGUUUUUACACACAUUUAUUAUGAAUUAAUGCAUUUUUGUUAUCAUACCAAGAGAACAUAUCUGUAAAAUACAGGGGAAAAAACCUUCUCCAGCAAACAGUAAUAUUCAGAGAAUGUUUGGGGAACGUUUGAUGGAGGUUCCUGUUUGCAGUGAAAUUGGCUGUAAUAAUACAAUACAAAGGUCUUUCACAGGGAACCCUCAGGGAACGUACAGGAUGUUCACGAAGGUUCCCUCAUGGAAAUCGGCAAACAUUCAGGGAUUAUUUCCUUAAAUUUCCUGUUGGCUGUGAAGUCUCCCAGUAUCUGAACAUUAUAAUAAAAGAGUCCAUCUCUUUAUAACAAACUAUACGAUUGUUUGAACUGUUUAAAAUUUAGUACAAUUGCUUGUUAUCAAUGUAAAACCACAGUAAAGAGUUGUUCUCCAACCGUAAAAGAAAAUCGAUAUUUAUGUAAAGAAUGUUGGUGAAUAUGUUGAAUGAUCACGUGAAGUAAAAGCUUAGAUCUGUGCAUACACUAACUGUACACUUUUAUAUACGGUGCAAAAGAACUGAAAAUGUGGCGGCAAGAGCACCAGAAAAAAUCCAUUUGAAAACGCCAAACAUAACAGCUAAUAUCUGUAGAAUAAUGACAUAUUUUUACUUGACUUAAAUACACUAAAACUAUGUGAUUUUUAUGGUUACAUAUUGUGAAUGAACUAAUUAUUUGUAAAACUUUAAAAAAUAUUCAUAAGGGGGACGGUAUGUAUAGUUUUGGUUGCUUUUUAUUUUUCAUUUUAUUUUGAAACUACUUGUGAAUUAAUACUUAUUUUUUACUUUAUUGUUUUUUUUUAAACAAAGCAGCGAAAAUCUAGAGACUCUUUUUGAAUACCUAAGAGGCAUAGUUUGUCUGUAAAUAACUAAUAACAGGAUAUGUGUAUGUCUGUAUGAAAUGCAAUUUUACCAUCAAAUGUUGUAUAAGAACAGAUUUUCCUUUUGCAAAAGUACAGAUUCUUGAUGUUAGGUACAAUUCUGGUUUGCUUUUUAUUUUUUAUUUUUUAGUUAGCAUGUAAAUUAAUUAAUUUUUUUUCUCUUUGAUUUUACAAGUUAUCAGUAAUUUACCAAAACUGUAACAGUCUGUGAAAUAGGAAGAAAUUGUUCAAACAAUGACAGUUAACUGUCAAAAAUCUGUUCAUUUUUUACACUGUAGGGUUCAUUACAUGUAGUUUGUUACUUUUCUUUAUGUGCAGAACUCACAGCUGUAACAGUGAGAUCUCACACAUAAACAACACAGAUACAGUUCAGAUUAUUUAACUUUGAACUACUAUAAAUGUGAAGGAUAAGAACAUUUAUUGGCAGAUUGCCUCCAUUGAUAAACUGUUAAUAUUAAAUUGUGGAAUGUAUAUACAUUUAUACAGUAUUUUCUAGAUUUUAUGAGACUAAAGAGGUGUUUUCUGUGAAAAUAAAAUAUGUAACUCUAUUUGAAAUUACAGGAAAAAUAUACAGGGGGAAACCUGUGAAUUUAGUUAUUUAUCACUGAGUUAUGUUUAGGAUUUUACUGGAAUUUGAUGAAAACGCUUUGGAAACAUGCUGCCAGACAAACAGUUUUUUCACUUCUGUUUUUUUACAGUGUGGAGAAACCAGACUUGUGCAAGAUCAGCUGUGCGUCUGUCUGUGGUCACGAUGUAUAAUUUACUCUCCAAGGUGACAGACGGUCUCUGUUGCAAGACCUUCUUGUUUUUUUUUAUUUUUUAAAUGUGCUUUUAGCUCCGUGGGGCAGCAGGAGGAAUUUUGUAGACGGACUUAAAACCACAAUAAUAUAGAUCUGAAAGCAGUGACUAAUGCAGAAAACCAACACUGAAAAUGAUGUUUGGGCUCAACAGAAUAAAACAAUCAAUUUGUAUCAAACUUUCUGAGUUAUGAACUAAUGAAAUUAUCUUCAGCUAACAAACUAGACUAAAAUACAGGAAUUAGCUUCUCCUCAAAGCUGUUUUAAUUCAAACUUAUUUAAUGAUGACGGUGAAAACUGUAAAAUCUCAUUUAUCUUUCAGCUUUGGUGACAGUAGUUUGAUUGUAUUAAUUAGAAUCUACAUAUUGUCUCUUUAAACUCAGUUUCCAGUUAGAGCUAAAGUGCAGCAAUUACACUCGCUGCUGUUUUAGUUUCAUGUUUCAGCUGCAACUUAAUUGUUGUUUUCUUCCGGUGAGAUUACAGAGUAAAGAAGAUAAAAGCGCGUCUAAAGGUGAACUUUUUUUAUACAAAAAAUGUGAAGCUCCCCUUUAAGUAAUGUUUAUCUAAAUCUGUAAUUAAUUUAUUGAUUUGAUCUUGGACAGGUCCCUUUAUAGAGUGUUUAUUAUAUUUAGUGUGUGGGGUUUCCUGUUUCUCUAACUCCACAGGUAUGUUCUUUAUUACUUGGAUGUGUUUUUUCUCAUGCAAGUCAAUGUCCUAAUAUCUUAAAAUAAAACAGCGAAACGGAAA